rnacentral:lncRNA from 1 species
UAAGCUCUAACUAGAGAACCCGCUGAGAAAUCCCACACAACUCUGGCCGGCGUGGGGGUUUAUUUUGUAGGUUUCCCCUUCUGGUAGGUCACAAUAUUUUUAAAUUUUUGCUCUUUUUACUUCUUUUUCCUCACUUUCAACUGUGAUUGGCGUAGCAAUUUAUCUCUUUAAGCCCUAAAAAAUAUCUAAAAAUUUAAUCUUGAUUACUGAUUUCUUGCAUUUUGCUUUUAAUUUUAUGGAUAGUCUUCUUGAAGAUUUAAAAUAAAAAUAAGUAGAAAUAUGGGUCUAUUUAUUUACUUAUAAAUUUGGGCUGCUAUUCGAUGUGGGUAAACAUUUCUCAUGGAUGUGUUAAUUUUUGUUGAAUCUUGUUGCUGGUAUAUUUCUAUCAAAAGUUUUAAGAUUUAAGUAAUAGAAGACUACUCCCAUAUUUAUCUUGUAUUUUUAAUUUCUGGUGGGUUGGAGUGUGUGGUUUGGAUUCUUAAUUUAUUUGCUCAGACCUAUAGGUGUGAGGUGUGUUUCUGUAUUUUCUAUAUUUAGUUGUAGUUUUUUGUUUGAAGACAAUUCCUUCGUAGAACAUUGGAGGUAUAUUCUUAUUUAUUUGCUAUUACAUCUCUUGAACAGUAAGGUUUCAUUCAAUCUCGUGAUUUGGUAAAAAAAUACAAUUUGAUUACUUCUUAUUUUAUUUAUUCCAGAAGCUUUGAUCCAUCACUAGUUUUUCAAUUUGUAAUUUUUUAAUUUAAUUAUAAUCUUAAGUGACCUCUUUGAACAGUCUUUUGAACUGUGUUUUUGUUUCAUCUUUAGCCUUAAUGGCUGAAUAAUGAGAAUUGAGAAGUAAUUAUAAGUUAUAUUUCUCAAGGAUGCUUCUUCUUUAUAAUUAGAUGACUUAGGUUACUGGUGCUCUGUUGUGUUGUGUAUACCAUAUAAAAUAGGUAAUAGACUAAUUUGUCUUCAUUCUACAGUUCAUUCGGUCAAGUUAGGAUGAAGAUUCUUCUUUGUUAAGUUUUGUGGUGAUGUAGUAUUUUAUGGUUGUGUUGUGGUGUUUGAAUGCUCUGUAAUAUCAUACUUUCUAGUAUGACUCAAAAUAUGUUCUAUCUACUAUUCAUCUUAAUAAGCAAAAUAAUCCUGCCUGAAUUCUAAGUAUAGGAAAAUGAGUAUCCAAUGCAAGACAUUGUUUCUUUUCUUCUGCUUCUUAGCUUCGUGAUUUACUUUUGCUGUUAUAUUAGAUAUUCAAUAGUUAAUGGAUAAUGGAGAUAAAAGUUGGAUGGGUCUCCGAAUAUCAAUGUAGGAGUACAUCUACGGAGUUAGCGAUUUUCUUGAUAAGGCAUUUUAACGAGCUGCCCAAGGAAAUGAAAUAUUAUGCCCUUGCAAAAAAUGCGUUAACUGUUAUUAGCAUUAUAGAAAUAUAGUGGAGGAUCACUUGGUUGCCUAUGGGUUUCUUACUGGAUACACCAAAUGGAUUUUUCAUGGGGAAAAUUUUUCCUCAAGAAAUACUCUACGGUCAAGCAAUGAUGAGGAUGAUUCUAACAUGCAUGGCGAUAUUGAUGGACUACUUCAUAAUACUUUUAGAAAUAUAGAGGGUGAAGUGAGAGGGACCAUCUGAAGAUGCAAAGAAAUUUUUUAAAUUACUAGAGGAAGGGAAGCAAGAGUUAUACCUGGGGUGUGCGAAUUUCUCUAAAUUAAGUUUCACCAUUCUAUUGUACUUGUUUAAAUGCAUUCAUGGAUUAAGUAAUGCGGCCUUUUCAGACUUGUUAGACUUGUUAAAAGAGGCAUUUCUAUUUGCUCAGCUACCUGGCUCUUUCAACAAGGCUAAAAACAUAAUUCAAGAUUUGGGUCUUCUCUAUGAAAAAAUACAUGCAUUCCCAAACGAUUGCGUGCUAUUUUGGAACGACAAUGUGAUGAUAGAUAAUUGCACUGUGUGUGUGUAACGACCCAACUGGUCGUUUUGCCUUCUAGAACCCUGUUCCUCUAAAUAAGAUUUUCCAUAUGUGCUUUUACAGUUUUAUGACUUGUGGGGAUGGUUAGUUCAGGAUUUUAAAGGGUUCGGGUUGAGAUCGGAACACUUGGUUCCUUAGUUUGACUUUAAAAAGGUAAGUUUGACUUCGAUCAACGUCUUGAGUAAACGAUCCCGGAAUCGGGAUUUGACGGUUCCAAUAGGUUCGUAUGAUGAUUUUUGACUUGGGCGUAUGCUCGAAUUGAGUUUUGGAUAACCCGGGAGCGUUUCAACGCUUAAUAAUAAAAGUUGACUAUUUGAAGGUUUUAAGGUUCUUUAAAUUUGGGCUGGAGUAGGUUUUGGAGUAAUUGAGGUCUGUUUGGAAUUCUGAGCCUGAAAAUCAUCCCGUACGGUGAUUUAAGCCUUACACGCAAAAUUUAAUGUCAUUCCGAAUAGUUGAAGUAUGAUUUGGCACGUUCGGAGUAAGUUUGAAAAACUUGAAGUUCAUGAGUUGAAUCAAUUUGGUUUGGGGUAUGAUUCUUAGUUUUUAUGUUGUUUUAUGCAUUUCGAGGGUUCAAGCGAGUCCGUUUUAUGAUUUCAAACUUGUUGGUAUGUUCAGGAGGGGCCCCGGGUGUUAACCGGACGAGGCUCGGACCAAGUUUGGACUUAGGAGCAAUUGCUGAAGCUUCCAACUUCUAGUGUAACCGCACCUGUGCAUGGACAGAUGCAAGUGCGAGCUCGCAAAAGCGAGCAAGAAGCCGCAAAAGAGGUCUAGUGGGGGCAACUCGGAAUCCACAGGAGCAGAGUUAUUGGGCGCACCUGCGGGCGCGCAUGAGCGAUGGAGGAAGCCGCAGACCAAGCAGCAUACACGUCGCGAAAGCCGCAGAAGCGGACAUGCAGAAGCGGAAAAAUAGUCCUUAGGUGCGGAUUUUGGCUCAACUGGAGGAGACUACAUCUGCAAGGAUUUUUCCACAGUUGUGGGGCCGCAGAAGCGGCCGUACCUCUGCAAGUGCGAAAAUCACAGAAGGCAAAACCUUCAUUUAAGUCGGGGUUUGAGUAUUUGUAGUCCAUUUUCUCCAUUCUUUGCGAUUUUUGGAGCUUCUUGAGAGUGGUAUUCAUCUAGCAACCUGGAGGUAAGUUUAUUCUACCUAUUGUGAGUUAAAUACAUAGAUUAUGGGUAUAUUCUAACUUGUAAAAUGUGAAAAUUAAGGGUUUAGAUGAAAAAUCUAGGUUUUGAUAAAAAUGAAAUUUUUACCACGAAAAUGGUUAUGGAAUGGGAUGAAAAUUGUAUACUUGAGUUUUAAGAUUGUGGGUAACGAUUUUCUCCGAAAAUUUAUGAAAUCUGGGUACGUGGGUCCGGGAUGAAUUUUAGGAAUUCUUCCAAUUUGGGUUGGGUAAUUGAUCUAAUAAUUUAAUUACGAAUUUUUGAGCAUGUAUUGAUUAAAUUAUGUAAUAUUUUACUAGUUUCGGAUUGAACGGCACCGAGUUGGAGCUUUAGAACGAAAUUUUAACUGGAAAGUGAGAUUUGAGACGAGGUAAGUCUCUUGUCUAACCUUGUAAGAGGGAAUUUACCCUAUAGGUGAUAAAAAUCAACAUUUUCUUCAAAUUGUGGGGGCUACAUACGUACGAGGUGACGAGAGUCUGUACGUAGCUACUAAUUAUGCUUAUGUCCGGGUAGCUUUAGGACCCAAAUCAUGAACUAUUGAAAUAUUUGCAUCCUACUUGUUAAUUAAAGUGCCUAAAUUAUAUUAGAACUUGCUAGAGGAUUUUUUGAAAGACCGCUAACGAAAUUUUGUAUUAUUUUGUGUAUGAAUCAUUAAUAACGUUUAAGCCAAAUGCUUAUAAAAUAUCCUUCUCUUCUUCUAGAGCAGGUCGAACACCUCGGCAAUAGAUAGAUGCAUCUAUGGUCCGUGCUGCUCGAUCCUCGGUAAUGUACACAUUAUUCUGGAUCGGGUCGUAUGACCUCAGCAUAAAUCGUGCUUAAUAAUAAUAAUUACACGAUACUUUGAUGUAUUUAUUGCAGCUUGUGAAGAUAAAUGACUUAUUGAAAAUUAUGAAAUUUUGAAAAACUUAUUAGCUCUUGUUUGCUAAGGAAACUUGUUAUUAUUCACAUAACCCGUGUUUAUUUAAAUAUUUCUAUCUUAAUAUUAUAGACCCAUAGUAAGUGUCGAAGUCGACCGCUCGUCACUACUUCUUCGAGGUUAAACUUGAUACUUACUGGGUACGCGUUGAUUUACGUACUCAUGCUACACUUGUUACACUUUUUGUGCAAGAUCUGAGACAUGUGCAUCAGGCGGUCCUACCGGCGCGCAUCCUAGAUAUCCCGAGGCCUAGUGGUGAGCUUCCUUCUGAGCCGUUCUGCAGCCCCUAGAGUCUCCUUUUUGUAUUUGUGUUCUGCCUAUUUAUGUUCAGACAAUAACUAGAAUUUUGUAAAAUCUACUAGAUGCUCAUAUACUUGUGAUACCAGGUCUUGACACACACACUAGUAGAAUUGUGGUUUUGGACUGUUACUUUAGUUAUGAACACACUUAACUAUUUUGUUUUAUUUAAUUAAACCUUUUGUUUCCAAGAUCUUGCAAAUAAAGAAAGUUUAAUUACUCAAAAACUUAUAAAAAGUGAAAUAAUUUGUCGAAUUCACUAUUUGGCUUGCCUAACGGUAACGUCGGGUGCCAACAUGACUUAUAGGUGAAAUUGGGCCGUGACAACCCGGUAUCAUAGCACUAGGUUCUCGUAGGUCUCACAAGUUAUAAGCAGGCCUAAUAGAGUCUUGCGAAUCGGUAUGGAGACGUUUGUACUAAUCUUCGAGAGGCUAUAUGGUAUUAGGAAACUACUUUCUUCAUCUCCUAUCGUGCAAUUGAUGUGGUACUAAGUAUCUUUCUAUUAUUCUCUCACAGAUGGUGAGAACACGUUCUACGGAUAUUCCAGACUAGGGAAGAGCUGCUCUCCCUGUUGCUAGAGGCCGAGGCAGAGGCCUAGGGAGGGCUCUAGCCCGUGGUAGGGGAAGAGGAUGUCUCGGGGUUGCUCCAACUAUGCCACCAGUGGAUCCAGCAGAGGAUCCUAUCGUUGAGGAACAAGGCGAGGUGCUUGCGGUAGAGCCAACUCCGGUGGAUUUCUCGUCCGCACCGGGAUUUCAGAAGGUCAUGGACCAUAUGCUGCAGUUCAUGGAUACUAUGACUCAGGCAGGUUUAUUUCUGGUAGAUCCAACCACAUCUCAGGAGGGAGGGAGAGCACAUACCCUUACCGCACAGGCUCAUGGGCAUACAACUGUGGUACAUCAGACCCAGGGUGCACUAUCUGUGGGUGGAGCUCAGCUAGUUGCAACAUCUAUAUUGGAGCCCACACCAGCUGUGGCCUGUGAUCCACACAUGCUAUUGGACAUAUGGACUAGGCUUUAUCCUACUGCUUUUGUAGGUGAGCGGCAUGAGGACCCCCGAGAUUUUAUUGAUCGGUGCAGGGAAAGACUGCACAACAUGAGGAUACUAGAGUCCUACGGGGUAGACUUCACUACUUUUCAGUUGGAGGGCAGGGCCCGUAGGUGGUGGCAGUCACAUCUUUUCGGCAGACCAGCAGGUUCCCCUCCCAUGAAUUGGGAACAAUUCAUACGCCUCUUCUUGGGCAGAUACAUUCCACCCUCUCAGAGGGAGGAGUUGCGGUUCUAGUUCGAGCAGCUCCAGCAGGGUCAGAUGUAAGUGACCGACUAUGAGGCAAGAUUCUCUGAGUUGUCUCGCCAUGCACUUAUGAUACUACCUAUCAAUACAGAGAAGGUGUGGAGGUUUGUCGCCGGAUUGCACCCUGGUAUUCAGGCCACCAUGGCUCGAGAGGUGGAGAUAGGGACUUCUUACGGGUUAGUUAUGGAGAUAGCUCGGAGGAUCGAGGGUGUUCGUCAGUGGAGCCGAGAGCAGGCAGUGAGAGACAAGCGGUUUUGAUAUUUGGGAGAGUUUAAUAGUGCCCUGGCUGGGGGUAGAGGUCCGUUCGUGAGGGGUCAGUCCAGCAGGCCCCCUUAUCCAGCACCGCCACCUCCUCGGGGUGCUCUAGUGCGAACUUAUUUCAGUGCUAUGCCACAUAGUUCUUACUUCUCACCAGCUAUUCAGGGCUCCUCCAGUGGGUAUUCAGGUCAUCAGGGCCAGAUUUCAGGUCAGCAGCCCACCGUACCGAAGGGUUGUUUCGAGUGCAGGGAUUUUAGUCAUGUACGGAGAUUCUUCCCCAGGCUUAGAGGCAAGGCAGUGCAGCAGGGUCAGCAACCUAAGAUUAUAGCACCAGUUGUCCCACCAGCCGUUCGGCCACCCAGAGACGGAGGGUAGGUGGGAAGGGGUCAUCCUAGAUGUGGAGGCCAGUCAGGUGGCGCUCCAGCUAGGUUCUAUGCUUUUUCGGCCAGACCAGAUGUAGUGGCCUCAGAUUCUAUGAUCACAUAUAUUAUUUCUGUUUGCGGUAGAGAUGCCUCAGUAUUAUUUGAUCUAGGGUAUACGUAUUCCUAUGUGUCAUCUCUGUUUGCUCAUUUCUUGGGUGUUUCCCUUGAGUCCUUCGGUACUCCUGUUUAUGUGUCCACUCCUGUGGGCGAAUCUGUUGUUGUGGAUCGGAUCUGUCGGUCCUGCAUUGUUACUUUCUGUGGUUACGAGACUAGAGCAAAUCUUUUAUUGCUUAAUAUGACCGACUUUGAGAUCAUCCUGGCAUGGACUGGCUAUCUCCAUAUCAUGCUAUCCUAGAUUGCCAUGCCAAGACUGUUACCUUGGCGAUGCCAGAGUUGCCUAGAUUGGAGUGGAAGGGUUCGUCUAUCAGUGCAUCUAAUCAGGUUAUUUCCUUUCUGAAGGGUCAACACAUGGUCGAGAAGGGUUGUUUGGCUUAUCUGGACUAUGUCCGGGACACUACUGUAGAGACUCAGGCUAUUGAUUCAGUGCCUGUAGUAUGAGAAGUCCCCGAUGUGUUUCCUUCUGAUCUUCCAGGCAUGCCACCAGAUCGUGAUAUUGAUUUUUGUAUUAUCUUGGCUCCAGGUACCCAGCCUAUAUCUAUCUCACCGUACCGUAUGGCUCCAAAAGAGUUGAAAGAGUUGAAGGAACAACUUGAGGAGUUGUAGCAAAGGGGUUCGUAAGGCCAAGUGUAUCGCCUUGGGGUGCACCAGUGUUAUUUGUGAAGAAGAAAGAUGGGACUAUGCGGAUGUGUAUUGAUUACCGCCAGUUGAACAAAGUCACCAUUAAGAACAAGUACCUGCUGCCGCGUAUUGAUGAUUUAUUUGACUAGUUGUAGGGUGCCAAAGUGUUCUCAAAAUUUGACUUGAGAUCGGGUUACCAUCAGUUGAAGAUUCGGGAUUCAGAUGUUCCGAAGACUACUUUCCAGACUAGAUAUGUACAUUAUGAGUUUCUGGUAAUUUCCUUCGGGUUGACUAAUGCCCCGACGACAUUCAUGGAUCUGAUGAACCAGGUGUUCAGGAUGUAUAUUCACUCGUUUGUCAUCGUCUAUAUUGACGACAUUUUGAUCUACUCGUGUAAUAUGGAGGAGCACGAUCAACAUUUGAGAAUGGUGCUUCAGAACUUGCGAGAACAAAAGCUAUAUGCUAAGUUCUCCAAGUGUGAGUUUUGGCUAAAGUUUAUGGCCUUCUUGGGGCGUAUUAUAUCGGGCGGGGGUAUUAAAGUUGAUCCCAAAAAGAUCAAGGCAGUUCAUAAUUAUCAUCGUCCCACUUCGGCGACUGAGAUUAGGAACUUCCUGGGAUUAGCAGGUUAUUAUCGUCGGUUUGUGGAGGGUUUUUCAUCUAUUGCAGCACCUCUGACUAGAUUGACCCGUAAGGAUGCUCCGUUCCGAUGGUCCGAUGAUUGUGAGGUGAGCUUUCAGAAGCUCAAGACCGCAUUGAAUUCAUCACCGGUAUUAGCGUUGCCUUCCGGUUUAGGGAUGUAUACAGUGUAUUGCGAUGCCUCACGCCUUGGCCUAGGCUGUGUAUUGAUGCAGGAGGGGCGAGUUAUUGUAUAUGCCUCAUGUUAGCUGAAGCCCCACGAGAAGAAUUACCCGGUACAUGAUUUAGAGUUGGCCGCGGUAGUUCAUGCUCUUAAGAUCUGGAGGCAUUAUCUUUAUGGGGUGUCCUGUGAGGUUUACACUGAUCACCGCAACUUGUAGAAUUUGUUCAAGCAGAGGGAUCUAAAUUUGAGGCAGCGGAGGUGGCUUGAGUUACUGAAGGAUUAUGAUAUUACCAUUCUUUAUCAUCUGUGCAAAGCGAAUGUAGUUGCAGACGCCAUGAGCAGAAAGGCGGAGAGUAUGAGUAAUUUGGCAUUCAUUUCAGCAGAGGAGAGGCCACUAGUUUUGGAUAUUUAGUCUUUGGCUAACAGACUUGUGAGGUUGGAUAUUUCAGAGCCCAGCCGAGUUCUUGCAUGUGUUGUUGCCCAGUCUUCACUAUUUGAGCAGAUCAAGGCUCGCCGUUUUGAUGAUCCACACUUGUUGGUUCUCCGAGAGACGGUACUACGGGGUGGUGCCAAGUAGGUUACUAUCGGCAAAGAUGGUGCUCUAUGACUCUAGAGUUGUUUAUGUGUUCCUAAUGUGGAUGGGCUGAGGGAAAAGAUCAUAGAGGAGGCAUACAGUUCUGGGUAUUCUAUUCAUCCAAGUGCUACGAAGAUGUAUUGCGACCUGAGGCAACAUUAUUGGUGGCGACGGAUGCAGAAGGACAUAAUUGAGUAUGUAGCUAGGUGCUUAAAUUGUCAGCAGGUUAAGUAUGAGCACUAGAGGCCAAGUGGCCUACUUCAGUAGAUGACUAUACUGGAAUGGAAAUGGGAGCAUACUAUGGACUUCGUAGUUGGGUUGCCACGGACCUUGCAAAAGUUUGAUGCAGUUUGAGUUAUUGUCUAUAGGUUGACCAAGUCGGCACACUUUAUUCCGGUUGUGACUACGUAUACUUCAUAGAAGUUGGCCCAAAUUUAUAUUCAGGAGAUAGUUCGGUUGCAUGGUGUGCCCGUUUCCAUCAUAUCAGAUAGGGGCCCUCAGUUUACUUCACAUUUUUGGAGAGCAAUACAGAGUGAAUUAGGGACCCGUGUAGAGCUAAGCACAACCUUUCAUCCGCAGACCGACAGGCAGUCGGAGCAGACAGGCAAGAUCUUAGAGGAUAUGCUUAGAGCAUGCGUGAUUGACUUUGGAGGGCAGUGGGAUCGUUUCUUGCCUUUGGCCGAGUUUUCUUAUAACAAAAGUUACCAAUCCAGCAUCAAGAUGGAUCCAUUCAAGGCUUUAUAUGGUCGGCGAUGUCGUUAUCCCAUCAGGUGGUUUGAACCUGGCGAGACCAAGUUAUAUGGUAUGGAUUUGGUGAAGGAUGCCUUGGAAAAGAUAAAGUUGAUUCAGGAGCGACUUCGUACAAUACAUUCCAGACAGAAGAGUUACGCGGACCAGAAAGCGCGUGAUUUAUCAUUUAUUCUUGAAGGUUUUGCCGAUGAAGGGAAUCAUGAGGUUCGGGAAGAAGCGAAAGUUAGCACAAAGUUUAUAGGCCCAUUUGAGGUGUUGAGACUAGUUGGGAAGGUUGCUUACGAGCUUGCCUUGCCUUCCAAUUUAUCGGGAGUUCAUUCGAUUUUCCAUGUAUCUAUGCUCCGGAGGUGUCAUGCUGACAUGUCACAUGUGUUAGACUUCAACACGGUUCAACUAGAUGAGAGCCUGAGUUAUGAGGAGGAGCCAGUUGCCAUUGUUUACAGGCAAGUUCGCCAGUUGAGGUCCAAGAAGAUUUCUAUGGUAAAAGUUUAGUGUAGGGGCCAACCAGUCGAGGAGGCAACUUGGGAGGCCGAUGAGGACCUUUGAAGCAGAUAUCCAUACUUAUUAAACACUCCAGGUAUAAUUCUAAACCCGUUAGAGGACGAACGUUUGUUUAAGAGCUGGAGAAUAUAACGACCCAACCGGUCGUUUUGCCUUCUAGAAUCCCGUUACUCUAAAUAAGACUCCCCAUAUGUGCUUUUACUGUUUUAUGACAUGCGGGGGAUGGUUAGUUCAGGAUUUUAAAGGGUUCGGGUUGAGAUCGAAACACUUGGUUCCUUAGUUUGGCUUUAAAAAGGGUAAGUUUGACUUCGGUCAAUGAUUUGAGUAAAUGACCCCUGAAUUGGGAUUUGAUGGUUCCAAUAGGUUCGUAUGAUGAUUUUGGACUUGAGCGUAUGCUCAAAUCGGGAUUUGGACAACCCGGGAGCGUUUCAGCGCUUAAUAGUGAAAGUUGACUAUUUGAUGGUUUUAAGGUUCUUUAAAUUUGGUUUGGAGUAGGUUUUGGAGUAAUCGAGGUCCGUUUGGAAUUCUGAGCCCGAGAAUAGCCCUGUAUUGGGAUUUAAGACUUACACGUAAAAUUUGGUGUCAUUCCGAGUAGUUUAAGUAUGAUUCGGCACGUCCGGAGUAAGUUUGAAGAACUUGAAGUUUUUGAGUUGAAUCAAUUUGGUUUGGGGUAUAAUUCUUAGUUUUGAUGUUUUAUGCGUUCUGAGGGUUCGAGCGAGGCCGUUUUACGAUUUCAAACUUGUUGGCAUGUUCGGGCGGGGCCUCGGGUGUUAACCAGACGAGGCUCGGACCAAGUUUGGACUUAGGAGCAAUGGCUGAAGCUUCCAGCUUUUGGUGUAAUCGCACCUGCGCAUGGACAACUGCAGGUGCGAGCUUGCAGAAGCGAGCAAGAAGCCGCAAAAGUGAUCCAGUGGGGGGCAGAUCGGAAGCCGCAGGAGCAAAGUUAUUGGGCGCAACUGCGGGAGCGCAUGUGCGAUGGAGGAGGCCGCAGAAGCGACCAAGCCACAGACGCAACGCGACGCGAGAGACGCAGAAGCAGACCCGAAGAAGCGGGCAAAUGGUCUGCAGGUACGGAUUUUGGCUCAACCGGAGGAGACCGCAUCUGCGAGGAGUUUUUCGCAAAUGCGGGACUGCAGAAGCGGUCGUACCUACGCAGGUGCGAAAAUCACAGAAGGCAGAACUUUCAUUUAAGUCGGGGUUUGAGUAUUGUUAGCCUACUUUUCUCCAUUCUUGGCGAUUUUUGGAGCUUCUUGAGAUGGGUGUUCACCUAGCAACUUGGAGUAAGUUGAUACCUAUUGUGAGUUAAAUACGUAGAUUAUGGGUAGAUUUUAAUAUGUAAAUUGUGAAAAUCAAGGGUUUAGAUGAAAAACCUAGGUUUUGAUAAAAAUAAGAUUUUUACCACGAAAAUGGUUAUGGAUUGGGAUGGAAAUUGUAUACUUGAGUUUUAAGGUAGUGGGUAACGAUUUUCUCCAAAUAUUUCCGGAAUCCGGGCACGUGGGCCCAGGGUAAAUUUUAGGAAUUCUUCUAAUUUGGGUUGGGUAAUUGAUUUAAUAAUUUAAUUAUGAAGUUUUAAGCAUGUAUUGAUUAAAUUAUGUAAUAUUUUACUAGUUUCAGAUUGACCGGCACCGAGUUGGAGCUUUAGAACAAAAUUGUGACUGGAAAGUGGGCUUUGAGAUGAGGUAAGUCUCUUGUCUAACCUUGUAAGAGAAAAUUUACCCCAUAGGUGAUUUAAAUCAAUGUUUGCUUCAAAUUGUGGGGGCUACGUAUGUAUGAGGUGACGAGAGUCUGUACGUAGCUAUUAAUUAUGCUUAUGUCUGGGUAGUUUUAGGGCCCAAACCAUGAAUUAUUGAAAUAUUUGCACCCUACUUGUUAAUUAAAAUGCCUAAAUUAUAUUAGAACUUACUAGAGGAUUUUGUGAAAGAUCGCUAACGAAAUUUUGUAUUAUUUUCUGUAUUAAUCCUUUAUAACGUUUAAGCCAAAUGCUUAUAAAAUAUCCUUCUCUUCUUGUGGAGCGGGCCGAAUAUCUCGACAGUAGAUAGAUGCAUCUAUGGUACAUGCCGCUCGACCCUCGGCAGUGUACACAUUAUUCUGGAUUGGGCCGUACGACCUCGACAUAAAUCGUGCUUAAUAAUAAUAAUUACUCGGUACUUUGAUGUAUUUAUUGCAGCUUGCGAAGAUAAAUGACUUAUUGGAAAUUAUGAAAUUUUGAAAGAAUUAUUUUCUCCUGCUUGCCAAGGAAACUUGUUAUUAUUCACCUAACCCGUGUUUAUUUAAAUAUUUUUAUCUUAAUAUUAUUGACCCAUAUUAAGUGUCGAAGUCGACCCCUCGUCACUACUUCUUCGAGGUUAGACUUGAUACUUACUGGAUACGCGUUGAUUUACGUACUCAUGCUACACUUGCUGCACUUUUUGUGCAGGAUCUGAGAGAGGUGCAUCAGGCGGUCCCACCGGCGCACAUCCUAGAUAUCUCGAGGCCUAGUGGUGAGCUGCCUUCUGAGCUGUUUUGCAGCCCCUAGAGUCUCCCUUUUGUAUUUGUGUUCUGUCUAUUUUAUGUUCAGACAAUAGCUAGAAUUUUGUACAAUCUACUAGAUGCUCAUAUACUUGUGACACUAGGUCUUGGCACACACACUAGUAGAAUUGUAGUUUUGGACUAUUACUUUAGUUAUGAACGCACUCAACUAUUUUGUUUUAUUUAAUUAAACAUUUUGUUUCCUAAAUCUUGCAAAUAAGGAAAGUUUAAUUACUCGAAAACUUAUAAAAAGAGAAAUAAUCUAUCUAAUUCACUAUUUGGCUUGCCUAGCGGUAACGUCGGGCGCCAUCACGAAUUAUAUGUAAAAUUGGGUCGUGACAGUGUGGGUCUUAUGGUUUUAUGGUACUUUCCCUUAAAUCCUGGGCUUCAAAGAAAAUUUAUGUGCCCUAAAAUAACUGUAGCUAUGAAAUGGCAUGCUACUGAACGACCGAAUGAUGGAGAUUUAAGACAUCCUACUGAUGGAGAAGCGUGGAUGAAUUUUGAUUCCUUGCACCCAGACUUCUAAAGAGAUCCUCGUAAUGUUAGAUUGGGUCUUUCAAGUGAUGGUUUUAACCCAUUUAGAACCAUGAGUAUUUCUCAUAGCACAUGGCCUGUUAUGUUAAUGGACUAUAAUUUAUCGCCAUGGAUUUGCAUGAAGCCAGAGUACAUAAUGUUGUCAAUGAUCAUUCGAGUUCCAUCAUCUCCUGGAAACGACAUAGAUGUGUACCUACAACCACUAAUUGCUUGUCAUAACUCAAAAUUCAACUAGUCGUGAUGGCACCUAACCCAACCCGUUAGGUAAGCCAAUUAACAAUAAACCACAAUAUAAUGAUAAUGAUGAGAGUAAAAAAUGAAAUAAUUGAAUUUUAUACAAUUUCCCAAGGACUGGUUGUAAAAUUCAUGAGCUUUUAAGACUUAGAGUUUACAAAGCUGGAAUGAAAUAAAUACGCCAUCUAUUUGAAAUGUACAUAAACAGAUUUAUAAAUCUAAAGCUACCAAGAACAAAAGGUAGCUAUAACCGGAACGCAGAUACAUCUUUAAUGCCAGCUCCCACCACUCGCAGCAACAUCAACUCCAAAAUCUACACGCAAGAUGCAGAAGUGUAGUAUGAGUACAACCGACUCCAUAUACUCAAUAAGUAACAAACCUAACCUUAGGUUGAAAGCAGUGACAAGCUUGGACACCAGUCAGAGUCCAACACCAAUAGCCAAGAACUCGUAACAAUAUAAUAAAAGCAGCAUAAGUACUAACUCAAAGAUAUGAUGCUCAGCUCGUUCACAAUUACAGAAAAAUAGGCAUGUUUUUCAAGUAAAAUAGUAAAACCCAAAUCUUUCAUCCAAAUAUUUCUCAUAGAAUGAUUAUGUAUAAAGGACGUGUUAGUCACUUGAGUGUUGGAGAUGGAAUCAGAUCUGCUGAGUAAAUCAGAAAACUGUAAUUUUUCCCAAAAAACUUUGAACAACAAAUAAGAUAUUUCAUUCUCAGAUGGCAUGAGGAAAGUACAUCUUUAUGCCUACAUGUCAAUGUGCAUGUGAAGUCAGGAAUAUCACAAAAUCGUGUAGCAUGAGAAAAUGUAUCUCUAUGCUCGUAUGUCAAGUAUGCAUGUCAAAUGCAAUACAACAGAGUGAUGAACUAAUGUUCUCACACUCUCAGAGUAGUCAAUCUCACUUUCUCGCACUCCCACUCAUUACGCUCAAUCAUUCAGCACACUCAGUCACUCAGCAUUGUACGGUACCUGCGCUCACUGCUGGUAUGUCAGACUCCGGAGGGGCGGAUCCUGCCCAAACUCUAAUAUAAGCCAACAUGGCCUGCUUCAGCGAGCAACCCGAUCUUAUCAUGAAUCAAUAAAACUUGCUGCGGUGUGCAACCCGAUCCCAUCAAUAAUAAUAAAGCCUAUAAAGUCUGCUGCGAUGUGCAACCCGACCCAUAUAAUAAUAAUAUAUAUAAAUCAAAUAUGGCUUGAUGUGGCGUGUAACUCGAUCCACAAUAUCUAUCACAACAUGGCUCUUAGGCCCCAACUCAGUCAUUGGUCUCUCUAGCUUCUCGGGCUCACAAAUCUCAUGCCAAUUAGCCCAAACAAUGACAACAUGAUGUGACAAUAAAGGAUUACAAAGACUGAGAUAUGAUAUGCGAAUAAAUGAAUAUGACUGAGUAUGUAACUGUAAUUUAAACAAAUAACUCAACAGUAGAGAUGACCUCAGUGGGUCCCAACAGAAUAUGCAUAUAGCCUAAACAUAAUUUCUAACAUAAUUCCCAACUCAAUUUCUCUGACACGUAGAAAUUUCAUGGAUAGAAACAAGAUUAGGUAACUACACAAUAUCACAGAAUCAACCGAGUCAUAAUUCACACGGUGCACGCCCACACGCCCGUCACCUAGCAUGUGCGUCACCUCAACACCAAACACAUAACACGUAUGUUCAGGGAUUCAUACCCUCAGCACCAAGUUUAGAAGUGUUACUUACCUCGAACAAGCCGAAUCCAAUACCGAGCAAGCCCAACAAUACUUUAGAAAUUCCAUCCCGCGCGUACCGACCUCCGAACGGCUUGAAACUAGCCAAAGGCAACUCAAGAACAUCAAAGAAUAACAAAGGAAACAAACCCAAUCGAUAAAAGUCGAAUCUUUAACCAAAAGCCUAAAGUCAACCAAAAGGUCAAACCUGGGCCCGCAUCUCGGAACCCAACAAAACUCACAAAAUCCGAUAACCCAUUCAAUUAAGAGUCCAGCCAUACUAGUUUCACUCAAGAACUACAAAUCGCUGUUAAAAACUCAAAAAUCUACUUUAUGAAAUUUUAGAUAAAACCCCCCAAUUUCUCUUUUGCAAUCAUCAACCAAAUGCCAAAAACGAAGAAUGAUUCAUGAAAUAUAAUAAAAAUCGAAUAGAAAAUACUUAGCCCAAUCCAUGUGGGGAAAAUCACCUAAAAAUCACUCAAAUCCGAGAUCCCCAACUCAAAAUAUGACCAAAUGAACAAACCCUCGAAAUUAUAUGCUUCUGCCCAGUUGUUCUGCCUCGUUUCUUAUGUCAAACGAUCCUGAAACACUCCAUUUGACCUUAUAAUGAAGGAGAUAUAUUGGUUUCAAUAUUUGGAAAUAGUGAAGAUUUUUAAAUACGAAUUUACUGGCAAUUUUGUAAUUAAUCUGAAAAAUCUGGCAACCCAAUUCUUAGUAAAAUGACCAUAAAUUCCUCAUACGAUGUCCAAAUCCGACGUUUAUUUUUGCUAUGACUCCGUAAUUACAAAACGGAUCUAAUGCUUCAAUAAAAACAGAAAUUAGAGCUCAUUUGCUUAAUGUGCUACCAUUUAUGUAUGAAGAAACGAUGUCGAAACAUAAAAAAAACGAGCGCAACACAACCCAAACCUAUCCGAAACUCACCCGAGCCCCUCGGGACCCAUCCGAACAUGCCAAAAGUCCCAUAAUAUAAAAUGGACUUACUCGAGGCCUAAAAUCAUGCAUAACAACUUUAAAACCACGAAUCGCACCUCAAAUAGAACAUAAUGAACUUUUGAACUUUUAACUUUCAAAAUUCGUACCAAACCAUAUCAAAUCAACUCGGAAUGAACUCAAAUUUUUAACACAAGUCCCAAAUGACAUAAAGAGCCUAUUCCAACUCCCUAAACAACAAUUCGAACCCGAUAUCAAUAAAGUCACUCUCGGUCAAACUUAUGAACGUUCCAAACCUUCAAAUUCAAACUUUCGCCAAUUAGUGCCGAAACCUUCUAGAAAUAUUCAAAUACAAAUUCGGGCAUACACUCAAGUCCAAAAUUACCAUACGGACCUAACAGAACCAUCAAAAUGAUCCGAUGUCAAAUACUAAAUGUCAAACUUGGUUUACCUUCCAACUUAAAGCUUCCUAGUUGAGAAUCAUUCUUUCAAAUCAAUUCCGAAUCACCUGAAAACCAAAACUGGCAAUUCACAUAAACAUUAUACAAAACUACUCAAAACUUCAAAUAGCUGAAAGGAAUGAAAAUGGUCAAAACGACCAAUCAGGUCGUUACAUUGCUGAAUUGAAGGAACUAUGAGAAAUCAGUGUAGAAACAUAUGAUGCUAAUACUAAACAUUCAUGAUAAAUGUAGCCUUAUUGUGGACAGUUAGUGAUUUUCCAGUACUCGCAAUGCUUUCCGGAUGGAGCACCAAGGGGAGAUGGGAAUGCCCCACGUGUAAUUAUAACACAUCCUCUCAAUAUCUCAAGCAUAGUCAUAAGAUGUGUUACAUGGGUCAUCGGGCAUUCUCCUGAUCAUCCAUUUCGAAGAGACAAGAAAUCAUUUGAUGGUAAGGAGGACAAUAGACCUAUGCCCACUCACUUGUGAGGCAUAAAGUGUUUGAAAAGGUGCGUGAUUUUAAUAAUAUUUUUGGAAAGGGCCAAAAUAAAAGGUGUCGAGGUAAUGAGGGUUCGUGGAAGAAAAGAUCCAUCUUUUUUGAAUUACCAUAUUGGGCACAUAACAAAUUGAGGCACAAUCUUAACGUUAUGCAUAUCGAAAGUAUAUAUAUAAUAGUUUUCUUGGGAAUUUAUUAGUUAUAGAUAGAAAGUCAAAGGAUCAUGUUAAUUAUCGUUAUGACUUGCAAGAGAUGGGGAUAUGAAAGGAGCUUCAACCAACAAAAGAUAAUGGAAAUGAAAAAGUUUAUUUGGCUAAAGCUUGUUUCUCCAUGAAACCAGAAGAAAAAAAAGUUAUUUUGCACCAUCUUAAGAAAUGCCAAAUUACUGAAAGGGUGUGCCUCAAACAUAUCACGACGUGUGCAAAUGGAAUAGAUGGAAGUAUCAGGGUACAAGAGUCAUGAUGCUCAUUUUAUAAUGCAUUACUUGCUCCAAGUUGCAGUCAGAAAAGUGUUACCUAAGAAUGUUUCUUUGGCCUUGAUUAGGUUGGGGAACUUCUUCAGAGUCAUAUGUAGUAAGGUUAUAAGGCGAAGAGAUCUUGACACAAUGCAGUCUGGAAUCAAAGAGAUUGAAUGUGAACUUGAAAAGAUUUUUCCUUCAACCUUUUUUGAUAUAAUGGAACAUUUGCCUAUCCAUCUAGUAGAUGAAAUUAAGUUUGGGGGGGAGGGGGGUCCAAAUCAUUUGCGUUGGAUGUAUUCCAUUGAGAGAAACCUAUGUAAGUACAAGGCAUUUGUUCGUAAUCGAGCUCAUCGAGAAGCUUCAAUAGCAGGGGGAUUUCUAGCGAAGGGUGCUUGAUCUUUUAUUCGAGAUACUUACAUUAUAUGGUAAAGACAAGAUUCAGUAGAUAUCAAGCUGAUGAUGAGGAUGUUCAAAAAAAGGGGGAUGAUCUAUCAUUGAUAUUUCCUAAGAUAGGUCAUCUAAUCGGAAUUGAGAAGAAAAAGAAAAGAAAUACUUUUUUCAUGGAUUUACAGUUAUGCAUUGAAGCACAUCAAUAUGUUCUAUUCAAUUCUGGAGAUGAAUAAGUCGAGACGUUUAUCCAGUAAGAUAAAAUAUAUAUCAAUUAUAUUAUAAUCUUUAUUUAUUUUAAAUAAUAAGAUAUUUUUAAAAGUCAUUCGUAAAGUCCCAAUGAUUGAAUUUUGAUCAUUCUUCAUGCAGGGAACAUAAGAAUUUAAUAGAUAGUCAUACUAGACUAAAUGCAUGGUUAAGAGCAAGGAAACAUAAUCGGGAAUUUGCCGAAUGGUUUAAAGAGAAAGUUAAAAGCAUUUAAGUGCCCAAUCAUCUGCGAUGGCUAGCUAGAGGGCCUACUAUGGUGGCCAAAAUAUAUAUUGCAUAUUUCAUCAAUGGAUAUCGAUUUCAUACGUUGAAGCGAGAUACUCGUUGCAAGACUCAAAAUAGUGGAGUGACUUUGUCAGCAACGACUGAUAGUUUUGCUAGUGCGAGGGACCAAAAUACAAUUGAUGGAGAGGAUAUCUAUUAUAGAGCUAUUCAGUAUAUUAUUAAAAUUGAUUAUUGGGGCUAUUUUAGUGUUGUACUAUUUAAAUGUGAUUGGUUUCACAAUGAAGUAGAUGAAUAUGGGUUAACACGGGUAUACUUCAACAGAUUGUGUAGUACUGAUGAUACUUUUGUACUGGAAUCACAAGUUUAUCAAGUUUUUUAUGUAGAGGAUCCAAUUGAGAAAGAUGUUUAUUAUGCAAGAAAUAAAGUACCUAUUGAUUUGUGCGUGCGCAGCGCCGGCGGAACUAGGGUUUCCAGCGGGUUUCAACCACGUGGCGGCAUAUGUACAGGCAAAUUUCUGGCCAGAAGUUCCCGUUUUGGCACUCGCCUCUUCAAAAUUGCCCGGACCCACAUUGUUCCAGCCGGUUCCGACGAGAUCCCCAUCACCCCGACUAACUUUUCGGUGACUUUUUUCCGACGAAUGUCGUUCAAGAAGUGGCUCCUCUCCACUCUCUCUUGGAGCCGAUUCUUGGGGCUCCUCUCCACUCUCUCAAGACCCCCAACUUUCUCCCAUCUUCAAGGUAAGCAAUUCCCAUUGUCUUGGUGUGAAUCUUAUCAUACAUUUUGGAGGGUGUCUAAUGAUGACAUUGGUUCAUCCCAGAGAUUACAUGAUGUUGAUGUCAGAUGGUCAAGAGAAGAUGUACAUGGUGAUGAAAUUGAUAUGCCAUCUAAUGCGCAACAUUCAUUAGUUACAAUUAAGGAAACAUCAGAAGAGAUGAUGAAUUUGGUGAUACCGAUUGGGAUUGAAUGGAAGCUGAUGAUUGAAGAAGGAGCUUUUGAACUUGUUGUAAAUACUUUUGCUUAUUAUAGCAUAUUAUAAACCUUAUAGGGUUCCAUUAGAAUCAGGAUUGAUGUUCCAUUAGCCAUUUUGACAAUGUAAUUCUCUCAAAUAAUUUUUUGCCAUGUCAAUUCUGAACUCCAUUGAUCUUCUUUUAAGCAAUUUUUUGUUAUUUAUUUCACUGUUUGUUUGACUGCCAACUUAUCUAGAAAUUACAAAUAGAUGCCAGUUAUGUGGCAUAAUUUUGGAUGCAAUAUAAUCUUGUGCAGGUGUAUAUUUAAAUUCAUUGCUUAACAUACUGAUUUUGUAAGCUUCUCCAGAAUUACGAACUUGUGCUAUGGAGGUUGUUUAACAAAUAAUUUUAUUGUAACCUUAUGCAUGUGUAAAUAUAAAUUUUAUUAUUUUCAGUGAUUAUGUGAUCGUACCUGAUCCUGAAGACUCAUUUCCCCCCUCUUUGGCAGGUUCUUAACAUGACACAGAUUUGGAUAGCCAUGAGUCAAGGAUCUUCAAGACCAAAACAAGGCGCAAAAAACUCGACAAAUGCUAAACCUGAGACGCUUGCAUAUUUGGCAAACCAAAAAAAGAGUUUAUUGAACCAAAGAAAAACUGUUCCAGCUAGAUGGUCAAAUGAAGAGCAUCAACUAAGUUUGAAUGAAGAACAAUGACUACUAACACAAGCUGAACAAGGGAUACAAAGUGAAUCUACCACUCUUGAGGAGGAACAAGUGCAACUAGAUUCUACCACUCCUCAAAUACUUGAUCUUCAUCCGAUAUUUAUAAAAGUCCGAGUGCUUGGACUCUGACUUGUAAGAAUUUUUGGUUAGUCUUUUGAGCUAACUCGACCUUUGGGGCCGACAUACUUUUUCUUGAUCUUUGAGGCAGUUGCGAAGAUUUUUAGACGUGCAUAUUACCCGGUGUGAGCCUGACAGGCAUGGGCAUGACCCGUGUACCGCAAUGCUUAGGUUCUCAAGCCUUGAGUCGAUCGUAACACAAGUAGGGCCGUAGAAAGGACUAUAGGCUAGAGGUCAUCCUGCAUGGCUCACUUGUUUGGACAAUAAGCCCAUAAUAGAUUAGGUUAAACAUCGUGUGUCUGG